GAUGAACGCUGGCGGUGUGCCUAAUACAUGCAAGUCGAGCGAACGGACGAGAAGCUUGCUUCUCUGAUGUUAGCGGCGGACGGGUGAGUAACACGUGGAUAACCUACCUAUAAGACUGGGAUAAGUUCGGGAAACCGGAGCUAAUACCGGAUAAUAUUUUGAACCGCAUGGUUCAAAAGUGAAAGACGGUCUUGCUGUCACUUAUACAUGGAUCCGCGCUGCAUUAGCUAGUUGGUAAGGUAACGGCUUACCAAGGCAACGAUGCAUAGCCGACCUGAGAGGGUGAUCGGCCACACUGGAACUGAGACACGGUCCAGACUCCUACGGGAGGCAGCAGUAGGGAAUCUUCCGCAAUGGGCGAAAGCCUGACGGAGCAACGCCGCGUGAGUGAUGAAGGUCUUCGGAUCGUAAAACUCUGUUAUUAGGGAAGAACAUAUGUGUAAGUAACUGUGCACAUCUUGACGGUACCUAAUCAGAAAGCCACGGCUAACUACGUG
rnacentral:rRNA from 1 species